rnacentral:misc_RNA from 1 species
UUAACUAUUAUAUAGUACUCAGACAAUAUGAUUAAACAAGAGUUUUAGGUCCUCUGGCAGGCACUGGCCAGCUAAAAGCCGGCGGUCGAAACGGGCCUGCCAAAGCAACAAAGGUAAUGUAAACAAAGGGUGGAGUAUUAGGGCAUUAACCCAUAAUGACUCUGUAAUGAUCCUUCCGCAGGUUCCAAAUGUUUAAGGCUAUCUUCAGCUUUAGCUCGAUCAUAUCUUAACCCUAGAGGGCCACCUCUAUUUGAUCUGUGGACCUGCUAAGCAGGCUGCUAGUAAUACAAUAGUAAUUUCUAGCACAGUAGAGAUGUUGCCUGCUAAGCAGACUAAAUUCGCAGGCGAACCACCUACGGAAA